rnacentral:rRNA from 1 species
CCUACGGGAGGCAGCAGUGAGGAAUAUUGGUCAAUGGACGAGAGUCUGAACCAGCCAAGUAGCGUGAAGGAUGACUGCCCUAUGGGUUGUAAACUUCUUUUAUAUGGGAAUAAAACGUUCCACGUGUGGGAUUUUGUAUGUACCAUAUGAAUAAGGAUCGGCUAACUCCGUGCCAGCAGCCGCGGUAAUACGGAGGAUCCGAGCGUUAUCCGGAUUUAUUGGGGUUAAAGGGAGCGUAGGUGGAUUGUUAAGUCAGUUGUGAAAGUUUGCGGCUCAACCGUAAAAUUGCAGUUGAAACUGGCAGUCUUGAGUACAGUAGAGGUGGGCGGAAUGCGUGGUGUAGCGGUGAAAUGCUUAGAUAUCACGAAGAACUCCGAUUGCGAAGGCAGUUCACUGGACUGCAACUGACACUGAGGCUCGAAAGUGUGGGUAUCAAACAGGAUUAGAUACCCUUGUAGUC